rnacentral:misc_RNA from 1 species
UUUGACUCAGCUUAAUGAUUGCGCUCGAGUAAAUAGGUAUUGGGCGCACUUAGUCGACGAAUUGCGGGCAGAACUAAUAGUUCGACAGAAAAUUGAUGUCGAGUUAGAGAAGCUUCGGGAAAAUAUGUUACGUCACGAUACUAGUUUAGGUCUUUUUAAUGAGACAGAAGAUACGUUACAUUUGGAAUCACCUGAGAUUCAGAAAACCAAAGAUAAACCGUUUUGCGACAGGCCUUUCAUUUAUCCUUUGAGAUUGAAUGUAAACAAAAAUAAAAAACGACUAAUGGAAAAA